CUCCUACUGCUGGGUUCUCAGGAUGCAGCGCACGACGAGGAAACCCUGCAGAGGCUUAAGGUGACUCACGUUCUGAACGUGGCCUACGGAGUCUCUAACCUGCUCCCAGAUCAGCUGGUUUAUAAAACGCUGCAGAUCCUCGACAUCCCCGACACCGACAUCACCUCGUACCUGGAGGAGUGCAGCGGCUUCAUCGAGCUAGCACGACAACAGGUGAACACU